AUGCAUGUGCUUCCUCUUCAGGGGAAGGAAAUACUGCAAAAAAAAAGAAGCAUCUCAGAUGUGGGAUCUUUAAGACGUGUGUUCUGCCUGUUGAGCAGGUGCUUGGGGUUUGCUGGACCGAUGAAGUGUGGUCAGUUUCUGCAAGGGUCUGGACUUGUUUCCCGCAGCCCUGGCAGUGGCCGUGUGGUGGCUGAGCAGACAGAACCAACGCCCGUGGGUGUUUGGCCAGCUGGCCCUGGCCUCCCACUAGGCCGUCAAAGACGCCUUCUGGAACUGGCGGCCACCUUGGCCCACUCGUUAUCCAGCAGGAUAAUAAAUGCAGACAGCAGAGCAAGGCCAGAGUCAGGCCGCUGCUGCUCUUCAGUGAGAUCAGUGCUGCCCGGCAGGGGCCGCUAGCAAUGUUCUGACAAGUCCUGCAGACUCUGCCAAGACAGCAGGAGCCCAGGCCUCACGGAUCUCCAGGUGGAAAUCUGAAGCUGUGGGUAGAGGGGGUCCUGCUGUGGUGGGGGGGGAGCCACCUGCUCCUGGGGCACCCACAGCCCAGCCCCCCCAAAGGAAGAGGCUCUGAGAAGGCCCUUCUGCCUCCUGCCUUCCUUCCUCCUUCCACCUGGCUGCCCCCAUGCCUGGCCGUAGGCGCAGGGCCAGGGGCUGGCACACCACACCCACCAAUAGGCUUGGCAUGCAAUGCAGAUUCCUUACCUAAAACAAACCAACACUCACACCUUUAUAUCCAAUCCGACUACCUUUUUCCAUAUUGUCUUGUUGGCAAUUGUGUCUUUUUUUUUUUUGGUCUAUUAAAACCAUCAUUUUUUCCUCACCCUCUAAGCUAAAUCAUUAUUUCAGUUCCUAACCUUUGCAAAUACUCUGCUUCCUGUACAAUAGGGAUCAUUGUGUGUCCUCAGCAGCAGCCUGGCAGAAACACGGAACCACACGCCUGUGUCAGCUUAGUGACUCAGCAAACGGAGAGGCUCUGCUUCCACCGGGGCCCCUCCAGCCGGCCCAUGGGUUGGGUGGUGCUUCCUGGCCCUGCGGCUGUACCCUGACCCUGUUGGGUGCCAUGGCCGCUGGUAGGGGUGGGCGGCCCGCUCUGACCUCAGACCCAUCCAGAAGCGCCUGCUGCCAUGCAGCAUGGGAAGCCCCCCGCCCCUCGCCCUGUACUUGGUUAGAGAAAGAUCUGGAAGAUACGCAACUGGAAAACAAGGUGUCGCUGGUGGUGAGGAGUUGCUGGCAGGCGAGUACCAUGCCCAAGGCGGGGAGGAAGAGCGUCUAGACUGAAAGUAAACGCACUACCUAAAAGGCGAGAAUGAGUCGUAGCUGAUGGACAAAACUGAGGCCAAGCCCAGGACACAGCCUCUCAGGGGCCCUUAGGGAGGCUCCAAAGAGGUCAGAGAGGAGC
rnacentral:lncRNA from 1 species